rnacentral:rRNA from 1 species
UACGUAGGUGGCAAGCGUUGUCCGGAAUUAUUGGGCGUAAAGCGCGCGCAGGUGGUUCUUUAAGUCUGAUGUGAAAGCCCACGGCUCAACCGUGGAGGGUCAUUGGAGACUGGGGAACUUGAGUGCAGAAGAGGAAAGUGGAAUUCCAAGUGUAGCGGUGAAAUGCGUAGAGAUUUGGAGGAACACCAGUGGCGAAGGCGACUUUCUGGUCUGUAACUGACACUGAGGCGCGAAAGCGUGGGGAGCAAACAGG